rnacentral:rRNA from 1 species
GGAUUAGAUACCCUGGUAGUCCACACUGUAAACGUUGUACACUGGGUGUUAGAAGUAUCGACCCUUCUAGUGCCGUAGCUAACGCGUUAAGUGUACCGCCUGGGGAGUAUGCCCGCAAGGGUGAAACUCAAAGGAAUUGACGGGGGCCCGCACAAGCGGUGGAGCAUGUGGUUUAAUUCGACGAUACGCGAAAAACCUUACCAGGGCUUGACAUUGAUUGGCUGGGUAUAGAGAUAUACCGUUCCCUUCGGGGACCGAUUGACAGGUGCUGCAUGGUUGUCGUCAGCUCGUGCUG